rnacentral:lncRNA from 1 species
UGAAGUAAGAAAGGGAGGAAGAACUGAGCGGGCUUAGCAGGAGUUACUGCAAGAGCUCAAACACCUAAAAAUCAAAGUGGAGGAGCUGGAGAACGAACGGAACCAGUAUGAGUGGGAGCUGAAAGCCACUAAGGCCGAGGUAGCCCAGCUGCAAGAACAGGUGGCCCUAAAAGAUGCAGAAAUCGAGCGUCUUCACAGCCAACUCUCUCGGAGUUCAGCUCUCCACAGCGACCAUGCAGAACGAGAUCAAGAAAUCCACCGACUGAAAAUGGGAAUGGAAACACUGCGGGUUGCCAAUGAGGAUAAGGGUCUUCAGAGAGAACCCUCUCAAUCAAUGAAGAUGAAAUAGAGGGAAGCUUCCGGAAAUGGAACACUACAAGUAAAAGCCCAGAGGAAGUAAUGAAAC